GGUAAAAUGGCUGAGCAAGUAUUAGACUGUAAUCUAAAGUCAGAGGUCCAAUCCUCUUUUCACCA
rnacentral:tRNA from 1 species